GGGCCCUCAAAGCGGUCUCCACAUCCGGCGGGGUGGCGACUCCCAGGUGGUAUGGCUCACAGCAUUGCUGUACAGAACGGUACGAGAUGAGUGGUUUCGGAGAUGAAUGGAGGAUAGGGCCGGGGGAGGGAGGUGUAAUGAAUAAACACCAUCCGCCGUACAAUGUGGCUGGCGUUGGACCGGUCUUGAGAGGCCGAAGGACAUGGAAACUCAGCAACGCCGUACGUACUUUACGGGAAGGAAAUAUAUUACGAGUUUACUGUUCACGAUGGUUUGGUUAUAGUAAGGUUGUAAGAGUGUUGGCGGAUUUUGGGAGACAAGCAUGCUGGGAUUUGACUGAGGUUAUCGUAUAAGAAUACCGAAGUUUGAAUUGUACGGCGACCAAAACCCUGCCGUACUUACUCAGUACACCACUUUGGAACCACAAGCACAGGUCUGAGAAACGCCUGAUUUGGAAACACUGGGGGCGUUGGAGGCGCCAAAGCCUUUUCCGCCGCCAGCGCCUUUAGCAGGCCUGCCGGCCUGCCGCAAUUACUACUGAAAGCGGUCGCUGAAGCCGGCUGAUGCACGGUUGCAAUGCCGUCCCGCUGGACAGAAUGAGCAUCGGUUCCUCAUUGUUGAACGCAUGCGGGUUUGCGAGAUGCGUGACGACCCGAGGCUGGUUCGUGAAAGCUGCGGGACAGGCCGCUGGCCGAGUCGUUGCUCCCCGUCUG
rnacentral:lncRNA from 1 species